rnacentral:rRNA from 1 species
UACAGAGGGGGCAAGCGUUGUUCGGAAUUACUGGGCGUAAAGGGCGUGUAGGCGGCCUGUUAAGUCGAACGUGAAAUCCCCGGGCUCAACCCGGGAACUGCGUCCGAUACUGGCAGGCUUGAAUCCGGGAGAGGGAUGUGGAAUUCCAGGUGUAGCAGUGAAAUGCGUAGAUAUCUGGAGGAACACCGGUGGCGAAGGCGGCAUCCUGGACCGGUAUUGACGCUGAUGAGCGAAAGCCAGGGGAGCAAACGGG